rnacentral:rRNA from 1 species
CAGGGGGAUAGCCCAUGGAAACGUGGAUUAACACUCCAUAAUAUAAUAUAGAGGCAUCUUUGUAUUAUUAAAUAUUCAUAGGUAACGGUUGGGCAUGCGUCCUAUUAGAUAGUUGGGGGGGUAACGGCCCACCAAGUCGAUGAUAGGUAGGGGUUCUGAGAGGAAGGUCCCCCACACUGGUACUGAGACACGGACCAGACUCCUACGGGAGGCAGCAGUGAGGAAUAUUGGUCAAUGGGCGAGAGCCUGAACCAGCCAAGUCGCGUGAGGGAUGACUGCCCUAUGGGUUGUAAACCUCUUUUGUAUGGGGGGAAUAAGCUUUACGAGUAGAGUGAUGACAGUACCAUACGAAUAAGCAUCGGCUAACUCCGUGCCAGCAGCCGCGGUAAUACGGAGGAUGCGAGCGUUAUCCGGAUUUAUUGGGUUUAAAGGGUGCGUAGGCGGCAUUAUAAGUUAGUGGUAAAAUAUUGGGGCUUCACCUCACUACGCCAUUAAUACUGUAGAGCUAGAGAACAGACGAGGUAGGCGGAAUAAGUUAAGUAGCGGUGAAAUGCAUAGAUAUAACUUAGAACACCGAUAGCGAAGGCAGCUUACCAGACUGAGUCUGACGCUGAUGCACGAGAGCAUGGGUAGCGAACAGGAUUAGAUACCCUGGUAGUCCAUGCCGUAAACGAUGCUCACUGGCCU